rnacentral:rRNA from 1 species
UACGUAGGGAGCGAGCGUUGUCCGGAUUCAUUGGGCGUAAAGAGCUCGUAGGCGGUUCGGUAAGUCGGGUGUGAAAUCUCCGUGCUCAACACGGAGCGGCCACCUGAUACUGCCGUGACUCGAGUCCGGUAGGGGAGUGUGGAAUUCCCGGUGUAGCGGUGAAAUGCGCAGAUAUGCGGAGGAACACCGAUGGCGAAGGCAAUCCCCUGGACCUGUACUGACGCUCAUGCACGAAAGCGUGGGGAGCAAACAGG